ACAUGUGUAUCCAUCCCUCCACAUACAUGUUUUACAAAAGUAGUGUAACUAUAGUUUCAAUUAAAUUUGACAAUACCCUUAUCUCCCUUUUCACCUUGUGAUCCGAAACCCAACAAUCACCGAUCUUCUAAUUUUUAACGCAAGAAUAUUAUUUGCGACUAGUUUAAAUUGCAUGUGAUACUAAAACGAGAGUAAUGUUCCACAUAAAGAUAAAAGACUUGAAAUUAUCAAAAUACAUGGGAUCGUGGCUAGGGCUUAUUGGCUGGUGGGAUGAUCCAACGGAUCCAGGUGCAUGCUGUGAAGUACUGCCUCCGAGAUGAAUCUUUCACUCUCAUUAUCUUUUGACCCCAAACCGCUUCUCUUGUUUCUUCCCCAAUAU